rnacentral:lncRNA from 1 species
CUGAAAUGCUUUACUGGGGCUAGAGAAAGGUGAAAUGGAAUUGUGUUUUACAGAACCAACUCCAGUAGCAACUGUAAUGCUAGUUCAUGAUGUUCCAGGGUAUAUUUAGCCUUUUGAGUGUUACUGCUAAUGAUAAGCCCCAAAUGCUACUUAAAACUCACACAUACUUUUGAAAACUGAUAAUGAACUGUUUUUAGUGAUGAGUGUUGGUCUUCCUGUAGGAUAGAGCUAGAAAACAGUUCAGGUACUUUAAGGUUAAACAAGUCAAUCAGUUAAAGGACUGUUAUCCUACAGUCACCUAGUAAUGAUAGUAGAUGAAAUGAUCCAGAUAACAUAUGUCCUAAGGCAAAACACUAUGAUCCCACUUAAAAAAUAAAAAAAUAAAUUAAAAAAAAGAAAAAAAGAAAAAAAAUCCAUGAUCUUAGAAAGUGUGAUUACAUUAUUAAUGUGUAAAAUUGUUACGUGCCUUUGCACUUCAAUUUUUCUCCGUCUUUACAAAAAUUCAUUAUUCCUCAUCAGAUACAGGCUUAUAGGUCUUCUCAUAAUUUAUGUCUCCUGCCGUUUGUUUCAAGUACCCAACAAUGAGAAUAAUUAUGCUUGCCUUUUUGUAUUCUUUGUUUUCAGGAAACAAUGCAUCAGGGAGGCUGUUUCAGAGACGAAAACUCUCACAGGCAGACAGCCAAGAGGCAGAAGUCUGAAAACAGCUGAAAAAACUUCAGAUCAAGUAGACCUUCUGGAUUCUUACAGGCGUGUCAUUGCUUUUUCCUUCAUAGUCUCUCUCUGCUGGAUGAGUUUAUUGACUGCAUUUUAAUGCCUUCUGAAGAACCACACAUAAAAAAAUACUAAAAAAACCCAACACCUUCACAGUACUCUGGUCUCCAUGGCAAAGGUUUGGCUGCUAUUGCUUUUGAAUAUGAAUUUCGGGAUAUAGUACUGAUAAUCCUAUUAGUCUGUCUAGGAAACAAAAAAAUAUGAAAUGAAAGUUGACUCAGUGUUGAAGGUAAUCUCCUUUAUUGGACUUGUAUGAGAAUACAUGUUUCAAAGAGAAAAAAAACAUUGAAAAAUGGCUGUCUCAUAUUUCCAGGGUCUCAGAAAGGCUGAAGUUCCAUGUUUUGACUGUACAAAGAGACUGAGUAUGUUUUAGGUUACCUUAUGUUCACAGUACCCUAUCCAUCUCCUAUACCCCUUAUGGGUACAACAAAUGAGAGCCGUAUCAUGCGGUUUAGGUUCACUCUAUUAACUAUAAGCUAACCCUGCAUUAUAUAGUUCAUGAUUACCACUUGAAUUUGUAAGAAAGUUGGCAGGAAUGCCUUCUGCUAGGUGACCUUUGCAAAUGUGGCUGCGGCUGCUACAUGUAGUACCUAGGAUGUUGGUGUUUACUGUACUGUCUCUCUCCAGGGAACCAGAAAGGAGGACACAGCAACUCUUUGAGGCUUGGCAGAAGAAAAUCAGAGAUGUCACUUCCUACUCCAUUCCUGCCAAAUACAGUUAGAACUUUUGCUGCGGAGAACAUCAUUUAAGGAUUGCAAUUAAACCUUGACAUGUGAAAUACUUAAUUUUCAGCAGCUGAUGCCAUAAACAAACUGCAGAUACUGGGAAUGGAGUAUAAUUUGUUUUUCUUGCAAUGAAUACAAGGUAUAAAGUGUUUAUUGACUUAAAAAGAAAAACUGAACAAACAGAAUAAAGAAGAAAGCAUGCACGGAUGCUUUGAAGGA